rnacentral:rRNA from 1 species
CCACCACUAAGCCAGUGGUGAACUCCACAUACGCAUCCUUUGCUGAGGAUACGGUUAACGGAGCGAAAGCGACGUUCAACCGCAAAAGAAGCAGAGGGGGCUUAGUGGUGGGGUGACUGCGUACCUUUUGUAUAAUGGGUCAGCGACUUAUAUUCUGUAGCAAGGUUAACCGAAUAGGGGAGCCGGAGGGAAACCGAGUCUUAAUUGGGCGUUAAGUUGCAGGGUAUAGACCCGAAACCCGGUGAUCUAGCCAUGGGCAGGUUGAAGGUUGGGUAACACUAACUGGAGGACCGAACCGACUAAUGUUGAAAAAUUAGCGGAUGACCUGUGGCUGGGGGUGAAAGGCCAAUCAAACCGGGAGAUAGCUGGUUCUCCCCGAAAGCUAUUUAGGUAGCGCCUCGUGAACUCAUCUCCGGGGGUAGAGCACUGUUUCGGCUAGGGGGCCAUCCCGGCUUACCAACCCGAUGCAAACUGCGAAUACCGGAGAAUGUUAUCACGGGAGACACACGGCGGGUGCUAACGUCCGUCGUGAAGAGGGAAACAACCCAGACCGCCAGCUAAGGUCCCAAAGUCAUGGUUAAGUGGGAAACGAUGUGGGAAGGCCCAGACAGCCAGGAUGUUGGCUUAGAAGCAGCCAUCAUUUAAAGAAAGCGUAAUAGCUCACUGGUCGAGUCGGCCUGCGCGGAAGAUGUAACGGGGCUAAACCAUGCACCGAAGCUGCGGCAGCGAACGUAUCACUUAAAGCGAUUCAGCGGGUUACGAUUGACGGAGCGAAGCGACGUCAAAGCGUAUACAAAGUCGAGUCGGUUUAAGGAUACGUUCGUUGGGUAGGGGAGCGUUCUGUAAGCCUGUGAAGGUGGCCUGUGAGGGUUGCUGGAGGUAUCAGAAGUGCGAAUGCUGACAUAAGUAACGAUAAAGCGGGUGAAAAGCCCGCUCGCCGGAAGACCAAGGGUUCCUGUCCAACGUUAAUCGGGGCAGGGUGAGUCGACCCCUAAGGCGAGGCCGAAAGGCGUAGUCGAUGGGAAACGGGUUAAUAUUCCCGUACUUGGUGUUACUGCGAAGGGGGGACGGAGAAGGCUAUGUUGGCCGGGCGACGGUUGUCCCGGUUUAAGCGUGUAGGCUGGUUUUCCAGGCAAAUCCGGAAAAUCAAGGCUGAGGCGUGACGACGAGGCACUACGGUGCUGAAGCAACAAAUGCCCUGCUUCCAGGAAAAGCCUCUAAGCAUCAGGUAACAUCAAAUCGUACCCCAAACCGACACAGGUGGUCAGGUAGAGAAUACCAAGGCGCUUGAGAGAACUCGGGUGAAGGAACUAGGCAAAAUGGUGCCGUAACUUCGGGAGAAGGCACGCUGACACGUAGGUGAAGUGAUUUACUCAUGGAGCUGAAGUCAGUCGAAGAUACCAGCUGGCUGCAACUGUUUAUUAAAAACACAGCACUGUGCAAACACGAAAGUGGACGUAUACGGUGUGACGCCUGCCCGGUGCCGGAAGGUUAAUUGAUGGGGUCAGCGCAAGCGAAGCUCCUGAUCGAAGCCCCGGUAAACGGCGGCCGUAACUAUAACGGUCCUAAGGUAGCGAAAUUCCUUGUCGGGUAAGUUCCGACCUGCACGAAUGGCGUAAUGAUGGCCAGGCUGUCUCCACCCGAGACUCAGUGAAAUUGAACUCGCUGUGAAGAUGCAGUGUACCCGCGGCAAGACGGAAAGACCCCGUGAACCUUUACUAUAGCUUGACACUGAACAUUGAGCCUUGAUGUGUAGGAUAGGUGGGAGGCUUUGAAGUGUGGACGCCAGUCUGCAUGGAGCCGACCUUGAAAUACCACCCUUUAAUGUUU